UUUCAGUUUUCACAUUUUAGUACAGUCAGAAUACCCGAGUAAACAACAAUUAAAUACAUACCUCCAAUAUAGACUAAUCAGAAAAAACAAUUAUCUUUAGUACAGGCAUCUUAACUAAGUAAACUAAAGUUAAAUAGAUAACUGAUAUAGUUAAUUUAUUAAAUUAAUUAAAUAGAUUAUUUAGACUAGUGAAAUAUAAACAGACUUGUCCUCUCUAAUGCUGCGUUCACACUGGACGCGGCGCGCGCGUCAAGCGCGAGUGAUUUACAUGUUAAGACAAUGCAAACGCGCGAAUAGACGUCCUGCGAAUGGUGCGAUAGGCGCUGUACGAAUUGAGCGUUUUGCGCGUUUGACGCGCAAAUCACUCAAAUUCAGAAAUCUUAACUUUGGCGGACAUUCGCGUCGCGUUAACCACUCAGGAGCUUGCUCUAGUUGCGUCCUUUUGACGUGACGAGAGGAGGCAGAAUUUAAAAUGGAGGAGCGGGUUAUCGUUGUGGUGUGCGGCCAUCCCAAGCUGUAUGACAGCAGCUCAUUUCACUACAGAAACAGGAGUAAAAAGGAUCUUGCUUGAAAGAAAGUGAGUGAGGAGGUCGGACAAUCGGGUAAGUAAAUAAAACAGUACUCAAUACUCAUAUAUGUCUGUGUUUACGUAUUGAGACUGCAAGCUGAAGCCAGCUACUUCAGCUUAUUAAAACCAUAAUUAUGUGACAACUACUUUCCCACUUAUGGUUUGUUGUUUAUUCAGAGGAAGUGUGCAGAAAGAAGUGGAAGAGUCUGAGGGACACUUAUUUGAAGGAGAGGAGAAAGGAGACGGAGAAGAGAAGUGGGUCAGCAGCAGGGUCUGGGAAGAAGUGGAAGUUCUCUGCGGUACUGUCUUUCUUCGACCCCUUCGUGUCCCCGUGGGAGAUAAGUGGGAACAUGGAUAGGGGAUGUGAGGAGAGUCAGCCCGCAGGGUACGAGGGGGAGACAGAAACAGCAGCAGAAGGGAAGUCAGAGACAGACAUGACUGGAUCCUUUCUGGGUAGUGAGCCUGGAUCCACUUUGCCAGAACCUGCUGCUGCUUCUGCCUCCCCUCUUGGCUCUUCGACGUCUGCUGCUUUACCCACAGCCUCAAGAAAAAGAGCUCAUAAGAGACAGAGAGAGGAGCCACCGGAGGUGGAGCGGCAGCUUCUGGAAGCACUGCGGAACUGUCCGUCAUCAUCUCCACGCUCAGAGGAUGAGCUCUUCCUAUUGAGUUUGCUUCCCACCUUGCAGAGAUUGCCACCUCAGACAAAAGAGUUUGUAAAAUUUCAAAUACAUAAAUUAAUAUCUGAAAGCAGCAGUGUUCUGCUUAAUUUGGAAACAUUGGAGGCCACAAAAUAGAUUUUUCUUUUGUAAACAGAGGCAUCAUUCUCUGCAGGGAAUGAACCACACUUCCUUUUCUCCUCUCCCUCAUUAGGUCCCUCACUGUUCCCUCUUUCAAGCAAGAUCAUUUUUAUUCCUGUGUGUAAAUAGUUGUAUAUAUGUUUUUUUUUUUGUAUAUAGUGUUGUUUUGUAAUUUAAAUUUAUUAAUACAAUUAAAUGUUUUGUGAAAUGUGUCAGGAAUCUCGAAAACAAAACAAACUUAACCGCACUCAUUUCUGGCGCCCCCCUGGAUGUACAGCGCCCUUAGCAUUUGCCUAUACUGCCUAUGCCACGGGCCAGCCCUGUUGGCGAGUCUGAUAAACUUUACAUAACAUGCUGUGAUUUAAGUUUAGUAACAUAACUUUCUAAUUCAAGAUUUAAGAUCUUUGUGUCUCAAGAAUGUGUCUGUAAAAUGUCAGCUUAAAACACCCACCAGGCUAUUUGUUAUAGCUUUUAGAAUGUUGGGGUUUUCUGCUUUAAAAGUGGAUUAAACAAGUUAUUUAAAAUUAUGUUAAAAUGUUUGGAUUAAAAGUUUUGAUCAACUUCAAUUACUGAAUGUCUGUGUAUGUGAGAGAGAUAGCAGCUUUGUUGUGUGAAGUGGAAAAGGAGGGAGAAAUUUAUCAUGUUCUGACUGCAACAGUAAGUGGCAAAAAAAGCUUAACAAAAAAGACUUUUAUUUUGGCGUUGCGUCUGACGUCAUAAGGCUGCGCCGCUCCCGCACUGAUUCAACAGGAGAAAGGAACAAAGUGUCCAAAUGCAGAGGAAAACUGCUGAAACAACUGAUCUCCACACUGUUAUAAAGAUGGCGUUUAUUAAAGAGGAGAGUGAAGAUGUGAAGAUUGAAGAAACAUUCACAGUCAAACAGGAAGAUCUGCAGGAACAAAAAGGUUGAUUUCCAUUCUUAAAGACCAACUCAGUCAUUUUAUCCUCAUUCAGAUAUAUUUUAAUAAUAAGAAUACUAAAUUAAGUCCUUCUUGCAGACCUGAGUGUGCUGUGUAGUUCUCCUAAAUGCACAUAAGCACUCAUUGA